rnacentral:rRNA from 1 species
AAAGCUGAGGCGGUAUAGGAGGGGCUCGCGGCCCAUUAGAUAGUUGGUGAGGUAACGGCCCACCAAGUCGACGAUGGGUAGCCGACCUGAGAGGGUGAUCGGCCACAUUGGAACUGAGAUACGGUCCAAACUCCUACGGGAGGCAGCAGUGGGGAAUAUUGGGCAAUGGAGGCAACUCUGACCCAGCAACGCCGCGUGAAUGAAGAAGGCCUUCGGGUUGUAAAGUUCUUUAAUUGGGGACGAAGAAAGUGACGGUACCCAAAGAAUAAGCCACGGCUAACUACGUGCCAGCAGCCGCGGUAAUACGUAGGUGGCAAGCGUUGUCCGGAAUGACUGGGCGUAAAGGGAGCGUAGGCGGCGCAGUAAGUUAGGAGUGAAAUCCCGGGGCUUAACCCCGGAACUGCUUUUAAAACUGCUGUGCUUGAGUGAUGGAGAGGAAAGCGGAAUUCCUAGUGUAGCGGUGGAAUGCGUAGAUAUUAGGAGGAACACCAGAGGCGAAGGCGGCUUUCUGGACAUUAACUGACGCUGAGGCUCGAAAGCGUGGGGAGCAAACAGGAUUAGAUACCCUGGUAGUCCACGCUGUAAACGAUGGAUACUAGAUGCGGGAGGUAUCGACUCCUUCC